UUUGUUGGUUUUCGUAGC
rnacentral:miRNA from 1 species